GGGUUGUGAGGUUAAGCGACUAAGCGUACACGGUGGAUGCCCUGGCAGUCAGAGGCGAUGAAGGGCGUGCUAAUCUGCGAUAAGCGCCGGUAAGGUGAUAUGAACCGUUAUAACCGGCGAUACCCGAAUGGGGAAACCCAGUGUGAUUCGUCACACUAUCAUUAACUGAAUCCAUAGGUUAAUGAGGCGAACCGGGGGAACUGAAACAUCUAAGUACCCCGAGGAAAAGAAAUCAACCGAGAUUCCCCCAGUAGCGGCGAGCGAACGGGGAGGAGCCCAGAGCCUGAAUCAGCAUGUGUGUUAGUGGAAGCGUCUGGAAAGGCGCGCGAUACAGGGUGACAGCCCCGUACACAAAAGCGCAUGUGCUGUGAGCUCGAUGAGUAGGGCGGGACACGUGGUAUCCUGUCUGAAUAUGGGGGGACCAUCCUCCAAGGCUAAAUACUCCUGACUGACCGAUAGUGAACCAGUACCGUGAGGGAAAGGCGAAAAGAACCCCGGCGAGGGGAGUGAAAAAGAACCUGAAACCGUGUACGUACAAGCAGUGGGAGCACCCUUUGGGGUGUGACUGCGUACCUUUUGUAUAAUGGGUCAGCGACUUAUAUUCUGUAGCAAGGUUAACCGAAUAGGGGAGCCGGAGGGAAACCGAGUCUUAAUUGGGCGUUAAGUUGCAGGGUAUAGACCCGAAACCCGGUGAUCUAGCCAUGGGCAGGUUGAAGGUUGGGUAACACUAACUGGAGGACCGAACCGACUAAUGUUGAAAAAUUAGCGGAUGACCUGUGGCUGGGGGUGAAAGGCCAAUCAAACCGGGAGAUAGCUGGUUCUCCCCGAAAGCUAUUUAGGUAGCGCCUCGUGAAUUCAUCUCCGGGGGUAGAGCACUGUUUCGGCUAGGGGGCCAUCCCGGCUUACCAACCCGAUGCAAACUGCGAAUACCGGAGAAUGUUAUCACGGGAGACACACGGCGGGUGCUAACGUCCGUCGUGAAGAGGGAAACAACCCAGACCGCCAGCUAAGGUCCCAAAGUCAUGGUUAAGUGGGAAACGAUGUGGGAAGGCCCAGACAGCCAGGAUGUUGGCUUAGAAGCAGCCAUCAUUUAAAGAAAGCGUAAUAGCUCACUGGUCGAGUCGGCCUGCGCGGAAGAUGUAACGGGGCUAAACCAUGCACCGAAGCUGCGGCAGCGACACUCAGGUGUUGUUGGGUAGGGGAGCGUUCUGUAAGCCUGUGAAGGUGGCCUGUGAGGGUUGCUGGAGGUAUCAGAAGUGCGAAUGCUGACAUAAGUAACGAUAAAGCGGGUGAAAAGCCCGCUCGCCGGAAGACCAAGGGUUCCUGUCCAACGUUAAUCGGGGCAGGGUGAGUCGACCAAGGCGAGGCCGAAAGGCGUAGUCGAUGGGAAACGGGUUAAUAUUCCCGUACUUGGUGUUACUGCGAAGGGGACGGAGAAGGCUAUGUUGGCCGGGCGACGGUUGUCCCGGUUUAAGCGUGUAGGUGUGUGUUCCGUAAAUCCGGUUCACUUUAACACUGAGGCGUGAUGACGAGGCACUACGGUGCUGAAGCAACAAAUGCCCUGCUUCGGGAAAAGCCUCUAAGCAUCAGGUAACAUCAAAUCGUACCCCAAACCGACACAGGUGGUCAGGUAGAGAAUACCAAGGCGCUUGAGAGAACUCGGGUGAAGGAACUAGGCAAAAUGGUGCCGUAACUUCGGGAGAAGGCACGCUGACAUGUAGGUGAAGUGAUUUACUCACGGAGCUGAAGUCAGUCGAAGAUACCAGCUGGCUGCAACUGUUUAUUAAAAACACAGCACUGUGCAAACACGAAAGUGGACGUAUACGGUGUGACGCCUGCCCGGUGCCGGAAGGUUAAUUGAUGGGGUCAGCGCAAGCGAAGCUCCUGAUCGAAGCCCCGGUAAACGGCGGCCGUAACUAUAACGGUCCUAAGGUAGCGAAAUUCCUUGUCGGGUAAGUUCCGACCUGCACGAAUGGCGUAAUGAUGGCCAGGCUGUCUCCACCCGAGACUCAGUGAAAUUGAACUCGCUGUGAAGAUGCAGUGUACCCGCGGCAAGACGGAAAGACCCCGUGAACCUUUACUAUAGCUUGACACUGAACAUUGAGCCUUGAUGUGUAGGAUAGGUGGGAGGCUUUGAAGUGUGGACGCCAGUCUGCAUGGAGCCGACCUUGAAAUACCACCCUUUAAUGUUUGAUGUUCUAACGUGGACCCGUGAUCCGGGUUGCGGACAGUGUCUGGUGGGUAGUUUGACUGGGGCGGUCUCCUCCUAAAGAGUAACGGAGGAGCACGAAGGUUGGCUAAUCCUGGUCGGACAUCAGGAGGUUAGUGCAAUGGCAUAAGCCAGCUUGACUGCGAGCGUGACGGCGCGAGCAGGUGCGAAAGCAGGUCAUAGUGAUCCGGUGGUUCUGAAUGGAAGGGCCAUCGCUCAACGGAUAAAAGGUACUCCGGGGAUAACAGGCUGAUACCGCCCAAGAGUUCAUAUCGACGGCGGUGUUUGGCACCUCGAUGUCGGCUCAUCACAUCCUGGGGCUGAAGUAGGUCCCAAGGGUAUGGCUGUUCGCCAUUUAAAGUGGUACGCGAGCUGGGUUUAGAACGUCGUGAGACAGUUCGGUCCCUAUCUGCCGUGGGCGCUGGAGAACUGAGGGGGGCUGCUCCUAGUACGAGAGGACCGGAGUGGACGCAUCACUGGUGUUCGGGUUGUCAUGCCAAUGGCACUGCCCGGUAGCUAAAUGCGGAAGAGAUAAGUGCUGAAAGCAUCUAAGCACGAAACUUGCCCCGAGAUGAGUUCUCCCUGAGACUUUAGGUCUCCUGAAGGAACGUUGAAGACGACGACGUUGAUAGGCCGGGUGUGUAAGCGCAGCGAUGCGUUGAGCUAACCGGUACUAAUGAACCGUGAGGCUUAACCUUACAACGCCGAAG
rnacentral:rRNA from 1 species